GCGGAGGCUGCUCCAGCCCUGCAGCCCGCGGGGCAGCGCGGAGGUACCACAAAAGCAUCUGGCCCCUCUGGGAAAAGAGAGAGAAGCAGCCAAAGCCGAGGAGGAGCGGCAAAGCAAGGAGCUGCUGAAACAGACAGAAGCCGAGAGGCAGAAGAUCGUCUGGGAGUGGAAGGAGCUGCAAGGGUUUCUGGAGGACCAGGAGCAGCAGCUGCUGUCCCGGCUGGAAGAGCUAGAGAGAGCCAUUGUCCAGAGAAGGGAUGAGGGCAUCUGCAGCCUGUCCUGGGAGGUUUCCCUGCUCAGUGAGAGGGGAGGAGAGAAGGGACAGCACCCGCUGAGCCAACCCCUGCAGGUCAGGCUGUUAUUGCAAUGAUCAUACGCAGCGUUUCUAUAGGCGCUUCUGAGCCCUAGACCCCAAAGCACUUUACAAAGUAGGGUCAGGGGCAUUAUCCCUAUGGGACAAUUGGGGAAAGUGAGGCAGAGGGAGGGGCAGAGCCCUGCCCAAGGUCACACAGUGAGUCUGGCAGUGG